rnacentral:rRNA from 1 species
UGGGGAAUUUUGGACAAUGGGCGAAAGCCUGAUCCAGCAAUGCCGCGUGUGUGAAGAAGGCCUUCGGGUUGUAAAGCACUUUUGUCCGGAAAGAAAUCCUUGGCUCUAAUACAGUCGGGGGAUGACGGUACCGGAAGAAUAAGCACCGGCUAACUACGUGCCAGCAGCCGCGGUAAUACGUAGGGUGCAAGCGUUAAUCGGAAUUACUGGGCGUAAAGCGUGCGCAGGCGGUUUGCUAAGACCGAUGUGAAAUCCCCGGGCUCAACCUGGGAACUGCAUUGGUGACUGGCAGGCUAGAGUAUGGCAGAGGGGGUAGAAUUCCACGUGUAGCAGUGAAAUGCGUAGAGAUGUGGAGGAAUACCGAUGGCGAAGGCAGCCCCUGGGCCAAUACUGACGCUCAUGCACGAAAGCGUGGGGAGCAAGCAGGAUUAGAUACCCUGGUAGUCCACGCCCUAAACGAUGUCAACUAGUUGUUGGGGAUUCAUUCCUUAGUAACGUAGCUAACGCGUGAAGUUGACCGCCUGGGGAGUACGGUCGCAAGAUUAAAACUUAAAUGAAUUGACGGGGUCAUAGCUGUUUCCU